rnacentral:rRNA from 1 species
GGACGAACGCUGGCGGCGUGCUUAACACAUGCAAGUGGAGCGACGAACCGGGGCUUGCCCCGGGGCAGAGCCGCGAACGGGUGAGUAACACGUGGGUAACCCACCCCGAUGAUUGGGACAACCCGGGGAAACUCGGGCUAAUACCAAAUGUGCUCGUAGACCAUGAGGUCCAUGAGUAAAGAUAGCUUCGGCCUUCGCAUCGGGACGGGCCCGCGGCCCAUUAGCUUGUUGGUGAGGUAACGGCUCACCAAGGCGACGAUGGGUAGCUGGUCUGAGAGGACGAUCAGCACACUGGGACUGAGACACGGCCCAGACUCCUACGGGAGGGCAGCAGUGGGGAAUCUUGCGCAAUGCG